rnacentral:rRNA from 1 species
AUACCGGGCCUUUUUGGGCUUGGUAAUUGGAAUGAGGGAGAGUUAAACGGACCAUCGAGUAUCCAUUGGAGGGCAAGUCUGGUGCCAGCAGCUGCGGUAAUACCAGCUCCAAUAGCGUAUAUUAAAGUUGUUGCAGUUAAAAAGCUCGUGGUUGGACUUGUGUGCGCUGUCCGCGGGUGGCCUGCGCCCAAAAGGGCGUUUCGGUUCGGCCCCGGUGGCGCCUUGAAAUCUGCAGCUGGGGGGACGUUGGCCUUAACUGGUCGGCGACCGCACGCCGGCUGCUCGGUUACUGUGAGAAAAUUAGAGUGUUCAAGGCAGGCAUUGGGUGCAAUUGAAUACAUUAGCAUGGAAUAAUAAAAUAUGGCUCCUGCCGUAUUUUGUUGGUUUUGACUGGUGGGGGUAAUGAUUGAUAGGGACGGUUGGGGGUGCUAGUAUUGAGCGGCCAGAGGUGAAAUUCAUGGAUUUGCUCAAGACUAACUUAUGCGAAAGCAUUCACCAAGGACGUCCUCUUUAAUCAAGAACGAAAGUUGGGGGAUCGAAGACGAUCAGAUACCGUCGUAGUCUCAACCAUAAACUAUGUCGACUUGGGAUCGGCGGUAGUUUUUUCAUUAAGACACUGUCGGGACCACGGGAGAAAUCAAAGUGUCUGGACUCUGGGGGAAGUAUGGUCGCAAGGCUGAAACUUGAAGGAAUUGACGGAAGGGCACCACCAGGAGUGGAGCCUGCGGCUUAAUUUGACCCAACACGGGGAAACUUACCAGGUCCAGAGAUGUAGAGGAUUGACAGAUUGAAGCUCUUUCUUGAUCACUUCGGUGGUGGUGCAUGGCCGUUCUUAGUUGGUGGAGUGAUUUGUCUGGUUAAUUUCGUUAACGAACGAGACCUCAGCCUGCUAGUGUAGUCGGCUGGAUUGCCUUUGGCGAUCCGUGAUUUCGACUUCUUAGAGGGACAAUCGACGCGCAGUCGAUGGAAGUUUGAGGCAAUAACAGGUCUGUGAUGCCCUUAGAUGUUCUGGGCCGCACGCGCGCUACACUGCUGGGCUCAGCGAGUUUUACUUGGCCGAGAGGCCCGGUUAAUCUUGUGAAAUCCCAGCGUGCUUGGGCUCGCCUCCUGCAACUGGAGGCGCCAACGAGGAAUUCCUAGUAGACGCAGGUCAUCAACCUGCAUCGAUUACGUCCCUGCCCUUUGUACACACCGCCCGUCGUUCCAUAAGAGUGAGGCAUCCGGUGAAUUCUCGGGAGAGCCUGGGCGUGGCCAGCAAUGGUCUGCUCGGGUUUGAACUUGCAUAAACUUGGUGCCUAUGAUUAGGG